GAAACUCCAAUGUGUGUGAAGAAAGUUCUGACAACAUCACAACAAAUUGGGAGUUAAAACUUGGAGGAGAAGGAUCUCCUGAGAGUGGCUAAGAGGUUAGGAAGCAAUUGGUGGCAAGUAGGCAUUCAAGCUACUGAGCUGAAAAUUGGACUCGAAUGACACUGCAAGACAGGGUUACCUGAUGUUAUAUGAAUGGUUUAAAGGUUGUGAUCCGGAUACACUAAGGGCAGCUCUUGAAGAAGCCGAGUGUUUCACUGCACUUGAAUAUCUAUCAUUAGAUGCAAAGUGAAUAUUGUUGUUUAAUUUCAGGUUAACCUUGACCAAACAAGGGCUUAUGAUCAAAUCCAUUCCAGCCAGGACCAUCUUGUCUUUUUCUUAAGUGUAGACAACUCAGGACUAUAUUGUCCAAUAUGUCCUUCCUUAAAGGGAUAAAGUGUGAAGUGAAGUGGAUUUGGCUAAUUCUAGCAGGUCUAUCUACCAUAUAGAGACCCCUUCAUUGGUUUGGCUCCUUUGUUAGAAAUUAACUUUUGAAAUAAAGAUAAAUUCUGAAAUGUU
rnacentral:lncRNA from 1 species